UCCAGCUAAGGGAGACACCUUUUCGACUCCAGAAGCCCUAGCAGCCGCUUCCAUCUUCCUCCACACCACCAUCUUCCUCGGAUUCAAGGAAGAACCACCUCAUCAAGGCAUCCCGGCAAGCAUCCUUCACUCCACCAUCAUUCACCUCCUCCUACAGAUUCGAGGAGGAGUUCUGCGUCCAACGUCAUAUAUUCGAGUUUAACCAGAUCUGGCUGAGCUCGGAUUGCCACUGGGUUUUUAGAUUCAGGAUUCCGACACACCUCACUCUUAUCAUCCGCCUUCGGAGUUUCGAUUGAGACCCCGACGGACUCUUGCUACGAUGUUUUGUUCAUCUUCGGGCAUAUUUUGGUUGAAUUGGUUGGCGGCAUCUAGUGUGGUGAUCUCUUGGCGGCCGAUUGCUUGAAGGAGAAGAAGAAGAGAAGGAAACUCUCUUGUCUAGCAUCCCUUGGAGGUUAGUUGGUGGCCGGAUCUUGGAAGUAAAGGAGGAAGCUUGGAUGGAUUUCAUCUUGGAAGAUCAUCGCCCACACGACGUCCAAGAGAAGGAGAGGAAUACAGCAGAAUAUCAAGAGGUCUAUAAGCUACAAAAGGUAUUCUAUUUUUGAUGGAGCUCGAUUUCCUUUGGAGUGUUCUUCUCGUGGUUCUUGUGGUGUUCAAUUGGCUGUGAAUGAGUUUGGACUCGAUUUCUCCCGUGAUGUUGAUGUUUUGAGUUUUAUGUGUGACACUUGUUUGUUUAAAUGCUUGACCGAGAUGCUGAUUGGUGGAAUGGGUUGUGAUUUGGGCUUCCUGAGAAAUUCUAGAUUCGGUUUGAGGUUCCCGCGAUGCAUUCAAGUCAAUUUUGAGAUUUCCAUGAGGUUCUUGAUUUGGUCUGCGAUUACUGUGGUGAUUGCACUUUGAAUUGUGAUCACUAUGAUGUUUUGUUACAGCUAGGCUUGUUGAUGUUGUGCUCUUUCCGGUUGUUUCAUAGCGUUUUGGACAGAAUGUUGAUGACUUUGUUUACCAAUCAUUUAUGAAAAUGCUAGACUGAUUUGGGAAGGUAAGAGUCUGAUUCGAUGCUGUUCUGUUCACUGAAUUGUCAUGGGUUGGUGUAUAUUCCAUUCGAUGUGAUUCUGUUUCAUUGAAAUGCAGUGGAAUUGUGUGGGCUUAACUCAAUCUUGUUUUGUUUCAUUGAACUGCUGUGGUCUUGAGUGGAAUUUGAGAAUGGAUCCGGUAGGUUUUAGUGCAUCUUCAUAGAGAUUUGUUCCUUUAUCACGAUCUUAUUCUUGCCGUUGAUGCUAGAAUUUCGGGCAGAUAUGAAGUGGUUAAAUGGUUUUCCAUUGUGCUUUAAUUUAUUGUGUUGGCUGUGGUUGGAAUUUUCGGUUCAGAUCUUGAAUUGAUGAUUGGGGUUUUGCUCUAAGGAUUGUGAUGCAUAUUUGGGUUUUGGUCGAUUUUUCUUUGGUUAGUGAGUUCUGCUUGGGAAUCGAAUCAAUGAUUUUGAGAUUCUUUCGGGGUUGGACAUGAUUUUUGGUAGUUAGAACUAUAAAAUGAGGCAUGAAUUAUGUGGUAUUGCACUUUGUGAUAGGAAUUCAAAAUUGAUUUUUCUUCUAGCUUGAUAACGGCUAUAGGUGCUGAAUUCUUCUCCUUUAGUACUCAAUUGUGCAUUGCAAGCUUUUAGUUGUUAUUAAUUGUUUUAAGCUACUUCGUUACAUAUGAGUUAAAUACCUAUUCUUUGUCAUUCUUGAGUUAUGUUUAACUUGGAUAUGAAAAGGUCUUGUGAAAUGGUAUGUCUACUGAAUUACUUUGAAAUGAACUAAUGACAUAGUUAUAAUGUGGAUAGAUUAAGUUUCUUAUGUAGUUAAUUGGAUGGGUAUAAGCUUAUGUGGUGACAGUACGGGUUGGGUGUCCCGGGAUGAGCUCCAAGGAGGGCCCUUCCAAACAUGACUGAUAUUGUAAUUUAUGACAGAUACUGUAAUUUACUGUUAGCUUCGGCUAUAUGACUGCAUGUUCUCCUAGGAGGUUCCUCUAGGGUCAUGAGACUAUUUGACUGACUCUAUUAGUAGUUACCGGAUAUGUGACAUAUCCAUCCUUAUUAGAUAUGUAGGAUUUGAUACAUAUCAAAAUUUUCUUCGCUACACUGUAUUUGUGUUAUGUUUUAUGUCUACUAGUUUCUAUUACUGCUACUUUAUGAAUGUCAUAUUAUUCAUAUAGAAUUGCACUUGUUGGGUUCGUAGACUCAUGAUGCCUACGUUACAGGUGAGGAUAUCUCCCAGAAUAUGACGGAAGGCAUGCUGGCGGAGUAGACGAGGAGGCGAGAUGGAUGCACGACACUGUCUGGAUGUCUUAGGAGUGCAGAGCAGACCUGUUCCCUUGAGAGUUUUCCUUCAGUUGUAUAAGGAGAUGUUGGGAGGAAUUUACCGUUUCUUUUUGUUAUUUCCUACUUGAGAUGCUGUCAUUUACAUUAGAUGAUAUGGUUCAUUUCGAUGGAAUUGUUACUAUGGUUAUCUUAAUAGCAGAUAUUGAGAGGGUUGUUUAAAAAAAAAUUGGAGGGAAAAGCUAGGAUGUUUCAGUUU